UAGGGAAUCUUCGGCAAUGGACGAAAGUCUGACCGAGCAACGCCGCGUGAGUGAAGAAGGUUUUCGGAUCGUAAAACUCUGUUGUUAGAGAAGAACAAGGACGUUAGUAACUGAACGUCCCCUGACGGUAUCUAACCAGAAAGCCACGGCUAACUACGUGCCAGCAGCCGCGGUAAUACGUAGGUGGCAAGCGUUGUCCGGUUUUAUUGGGCGUAAAGCGAGCGCAGGCGGUUUCUUAAGUCUGAUGUGAAAGCCCCCGGCUCAACCGGGGAGGGUCAUUGGAAACUGGGAGACUUGAGUGCAGAAGAGGAGAGUGGAAUUCCAUGUGUAGCGGUGAAAUGCGUAGAUAUAUGGAGGAACACCAGUGGCGAAGGCGGCUCUCUGGUCUGUAACUGAAGCUGAGGCUCGAAAGCGUGGGGAGCAAACAGG
rnacentral:rRNA from 1 species